rnacentral:rRNA from 1 species
UACGUAGGGUGCAAGCGUUGUCCGGAAUUAUUGGGCGUAAAGAGCUCGUAGGCGGCUUGUCGCGUCGUCCGUGAAAACCUGUGGCUCAACUGCAGGCUUGCGGUCGAUACGGGCAGGCUGGAGUUCGGUAGGGGAGACUGGAAUUCCUGGUGUAGCGGUGAAAUGCGCAGAUAUCAGGAGGAACACCGGUGGCGAAGGCGGAUCUCUGGGCCAUUACUGACGCUGAGGAGCGAAAGCGUGGGGAGCGAACAGG